rnacentral:lncRNA from 1 species
GACAUGGUCUCAGAAGCGCGCGCUAACGAACUGCAAAACCUUACACACUCCCCUCCUUAAAAACAAGCACCGUCCUCGGUGCGAGAACGUCACUAAGUGGCCAUAGUCGUGCGCCUCUCCGAUUCCCUGAACGAAAUCGGUACCAGGCUAACUAGGGGAAGGCAAAAGGGAACCGGAGUCAAGGCAAAACCUUCCCCGCACUGGAUACCGGCCUAUAAUGUGGCGCACGACUCCUACCAUAUCCGGCUUAAGAAUCCGGAGAUACGCAAAAGCUGCUACGAAAACGACUUAAAUCUGACUACACGGAACCCAAAUACCCAGACGCGAACAAACACGUGAAAUGCAAUACCACACUACGUUGAACUGACUGGUGUAAUCUACGGACAGGAACAGAACGAAGACGCACAGAUAUACCGAAUACACAUGAUGACACACACACACAUCCAGCCGCAGCUCUACUCUGCCAAAAACUGUACGAUCCUUGGGGCAUGCUCCGGGAACUUGGCUCUGAACCACGCAUAGCGAUCUGAUAGCUUGAACGCGGUCCAGCUUGGGCUCCUCAGGAAGGCACGAAGCGCUGGCAGGUUGUGCAUGUCGUCGUAUGGUUCCCAUGAGGGGUCGCGUUUACUACUAGCGGACCACUGCACGAGGAACAUGACGGACGGGCGUGCGCGCUUGUUAUACCCCAGGCGAACAGCUGUAACAACAGUAUCUGCACUGUCAUAUGGGGAUUCUAGUGCAGUAGGGGCUGCAGGGGGAGGUGGUGGGCGGCCGGGGAAGAGCGCUGGGUUGUUGUCCGUCCAUGGAAGGAGGCGGCUGAUGUGGAAUACUGGAUGCAAGCGGCCGAGGGAGGCUGGAAGGUGAAGGCGGUAUGCAACUGGAGAAAUGACGGAGGAGAUGAGGAAAGGCCCGAGGUAGCGAGGGCGAAGUUUUGGGGAGGGGUAGGUCGGCAGGGUGAGGUGUUCUGUGGACAGGCGGACGCGAUCGCCAACUUUGAAGGUGAUGGCGCGGCGAUGCUGGUUAGCUGUUGCAGCGUAGCGGGUUUUGGCGGCUUGAAUUUCGCGGUUGAUGGUGGCAUGGAUGUCGCUCAUACGCUGCUGUAGUUCUGAAGCCUGCGGGUGAGAGGAAGGUGAAGCGGCUUGGGGGCCGUGGAGGGAGAUGGGAGUGCGCGGGUGGUAACCGUGAUUGGUGUAGAAUGGUGUCAUGCCGGUGCUUGCGUGGGUGGUGUUGUUGUAUGCUGCUUCGGUGAUCGGAAGGUAUGAUGCCCAGUUGUCCUGCAUAGGUUGAGUGUAAGCGCGGAGGAUCUGUUCAAUAGUGCGAUGUGUUCUCUCGGUUUGACCGUCAGUUUGUGGAUGAUAGGCGGAGGAGAUGUUUAGGGACGUGCCAAGGUGCUCCCAGAAGGUGCGCCAGAUGUCGGACAUGAAGCGGGAAUCUCGGUCUGAGACGAGGGUUGUUGGAAGACCGUGUAGACGGUAGACGUGGGUGAGGAAGAGUAGGGCGGUGUCGUGGGUGGUGGUGGUCUUAUUAGUGAGGGCGAAGUGGGCUUGCUUGGUGAACAUAUCGACGAAGGUGAGGAUUGCGGUGUAGGUGCGGCCGUCCAAACCUUUAGAGGGCGGCAGGUCGGUGAUGAAGUCCAGAGACACGUGUGUCCAGGGUUGGGUGGGGGUGGGUAGCAGGUGGAGGAGGCCAGGCGGAGGCUGGGUGGAUGGCUUGGUGCGUUGACAGAUGGGGCAGGACUUGACGUAGGCUUUGACGGUGCGGGCCAUGUAAGGCCACCAGUAGCGGGUUGAUAUCGCGGCGAGGGUGCGACGAAAACCAGGAUGACCAGAGUAAGCAGCAUCGUGGAAUUCGUGAAGUAGGCGGCGGUGUAAGGAUGGGACGUUAUGGAUGGUGAUGCGGUUGGCGAAGUAGAAGAAACCGUCUGGGGAACGUUGGAGGUAGGGCUUGGUGGUUGUUGAAUUGGAGUACAUGGGGUCGGUGGUGUAUCCGAAACGGAUGUCAUCUGCGAGGCUGGGGUCUGGCACGACAUGGGCUGCGAUGGUGAAACAGGCAUGAUGAAGGGCAUGGUUGGCUGCGACGUCGACAGGUGGUGAAGUGGAGGGCCAAAGCGGGGGAGGUGAUGGAGAUGUAAGUGAGGUUAGGUUUUCUGCUGAUGUAAUGGGAGGUGAGGGACUGGGGUCAGAGGUCUCUGGGGUAGGGGCUGGGCUGACCGGGAAGCGGGAGAGGGCGUCGGCCAUGUUUUGAGGGCCGGGGCGAUAAGUGAUUGUGAUGUAGCCUUGGAAUGGGGCGAGGAGCUGAGCCCAACGGGCUUGACGACGAGACAGAUCCUUUUGGGUGAAGAAGCGUUGCAAGGUGUCGUGGUCUGUGCAGAGCAUAAAGUGGCAGCCUUCGAGAUAGCACUGGAACUUACGCACUGCGUGUACGACAGCAAGCAACUCCAGCUCGUGAAUGGGGUAGUUGGCUUCAUGACGGCUGAGCUUGCGGGACUCGAACGCCACGGGAUGUAGGGCGCCGUUGCGUUCUUGAAGGAGCACAGUGCCAAUGCCGAGGAUGGAGGCGUCGGUAUAAAGGGUGAAGGUGGCGUUGGUGCCGGUGUCUGGGAUGAUGAGAGCUGGGGCUGACAUUAGGGCGUCGCGGAGGGCAUGGAAGGCGGCGACGGCGUCGGCGGGUAGGACCUUGGGAAAGGGCUGGGUUGUUUUGGUGAGGGUGGUAAGAGGAAGGGCGAUGCGGGCGUAGUCUUUGAUGAAGCGGCGGUAGAACCCAGUGAAGCCUAGGAAGGCGCGAAUGUCGGUGAUGGAGGAAGGAAUGGGGAAAUUGGCAAGGGCGGUGAGCUUGUCAGGGUCUGUCGUGAUGCCGUCGCGGGAGAUGAUGAAUCCGCAGAACUUGGUGGUGGGUUGCACGAAAGAGCACUUGGAAAAGCGGACAUGGAGGUGGUGGUCUUGAAGUGUGCGUAGAACGGCUUCCACGUCACGGCAAUGGUCUUCAAAGGUGCGGGAGUAGAUGAGGACGUCGUCGAGGUACACAACCGCACACUUGUUGCGGAAGGGGUGGAGGACGUCGUUCAUGAGGGACAUGAAGGUGGCGGGGGCUCCUGUAAGUCCGAAGGGAAGAACAAGCCAUUCGUACAGACCAUACUUACACCGAAAAGCCGUUUUAUGCACAUCGGGUUCGUGCACCCGGACUUGAUGGUAGCCUGACCAGAGGUCCAGCUUGGUGAAAUAGGCUGCGCCGUGCAGCUGGUCAAGGAGCUCGUCCACGCGCGGCAGGGGAUACGCAUUCUUGACUGUUAGCUGGUUGAUUGCACGAAAGUCCACACAGAGGCGCAGACCGUUACCACCAGGUUUACGGGCGAACAGAAUAGGGGCACCAAAGGGUGAUGUUGACGGGCAAAUCCAGCCACGGUCAAGGUAGUUCUUGAGCUGCUUGUCCAGUUCUUGAAGUUCUGCUGGGGACAUGCGAUACUCGCGCUGCUUAGGAGGCUGGGCGUCAGGGACCAACUCGAUGUGGUGGUCGCAUGGGCAUGAUGGUGGUAGACCCGAUGGUUCUUCGAAGAUGGUUGCGUAGCGCUGGAGGACAGACUGAAGGGCUGGUGGUACGGACGGGGAGGCGGUGGGUUGAGGGGGGGCUUCAGGGUCGACUUCGGGAUCUUCGAUGGGAUGGAGGACACCCAUGUAAACAGGUGGUGAUGGGUUGAAUGGAGCUCGCUUGCGAGGGUUGGUGGCAUUGGGUGGUGGCGGUCGGGCGGCAGCUUGGCGAAUGCAUUUCUGCAUGCGGGCGAUGGAGACGAAUUCAAUCUGAAAAGCGGAUGGGCAAUACGAGGAAUGUGGAAUGACGGUGUCACCGAUGGUGACGGUGUUGGUACGCCAGUCGAUUUGGGGGUUGUUGGUAGUAAGCCAGGGUUUCCCAAGGAUGGCGUCGUAUCCGUCAAGGUCGAGGGUGAAGAAGGUGGUGCACUCAUGGUGUGAUUGGAUAGCCAAGGGGGCGUUGGGAAGGGCGGAGGAACAGAGGGCGAGGUGUCCGUUGGCCAAACGAACACGUAAUGACUGCGAAGCUGGAAGGUUGGCGGAGUGUAAUUGGUGAUGUUGGAGGAAGGAGUGGGCAAUGAAGUUGCGGGAAGCACCAGAAUCCAGGAGGACUCGGGCGGGAUGGCCAGCUAUGGUGGCAUCGAAGACGAUAAGGGUGGUGGAGAGAUUGUCGGUGACGGACGCAAUGCGACCUAGGAUAGGCGGGAUGAAGGGGCGUUCCACCGUAGACCUUUGUUCGUCUAUCUGUGGAAGCGAAGCUUGAGGAGCGCGGUGGGGCUGGGGGGUAGGAUGCUGUACGAGGGGGAAAGAUGGUUGGGCUGGCUGGCUGACGGUUGGUGUAGGCGGAGGUGGGGAAGAGGCAGCGGAUGUUGGAGUUUGCGAAAAACGAGCGAUAAGAUUAGCGACAUUAGAGCGUGGUGAUGGAGGGCGGUCCGAUGGCUGGGGCGGCGGUGGGGGAUGGGAGCUGGAAAAAUGUUGGAUGAGAGUUUUGACUGACGACGUGGAUGAUGUUGACGGAUGGUUGGCGGAAGCGAAUGAGGGAUGGGACGAGGUGGAGACGGGAUGAAGGGUGGUAUCGGGAAGCAGGGUGGCGGAUGUAGACGCGAGAGUAAAGGGGGCUGACGAUGGUGGAUCGUGGAGGACUACUACAGGCCAAGGGCUGGGACCCGGUUCUCCAUACCUGGACGGGUCUGAAGAGGUGGGGCGGCAGACGAUCUGGGUGCCGGCAGGGAAGCAGCGGACGAUGGUCAUGUGGCGGAUGAGAGGGGCCCAAGAGGCUUGUGGACGAUCAGGUAGGACAAUGAUGGCAGAGGUUUUGGGGUUGGCGGUCUUGGCGUCGAGGUAGCGGGCGACGAUGGUGGAGGUGUUGUCGACAGGUGGCACCAUCCAUACGCACUCUCCUUCGAUGUCGGUUGAUAGGAAAGGUCGGGACGGUGAGAAAAAGGGUGAGAGCUGUGCAGUUAAGCCGAGGUCAUCACAGUAGGCAUCGACGGUAAAUGGGCCGUACUGUGAAUUGUAUUCAAGAAAAAGCAAUCGCGCGAUUUUCCAAUCGUUGCUUGCCUGGCAUGCUCCCUUCGAUGUCGAGGCUGCAGCUGCGUGAGCACGCUUGCGACCAACACGGCGGGCAGGCUUGCGGACGAUUUGAGCUAGACAUUGAACGUUGAACGCGGUUUCGGACGAGUGCACAGCAGAUGACGUCGGCAGGCUGUGGCUGACCGUUUCUGCCGACGACGGCCUAAGAGCCAAUUUAACGGGGGCCUGGGGAGCAGGAGCGGGUAGGGGAUUUGUCGCUGAUGUGCUGGGAGCGGCGGCCGUGGGAGCUGUUACUGAGGCAGGAGGGAGAACGACCGCGAUGGCUGUGGUUGUCGUAUUGGUGGUGGCUGCGUGAACAUCGAUCCUCGGAGGUGGAGGACGCGGAGGAGCGGGAGGGCGAGCGGGCAGGCGAGCGGGCAGGCGAGCGGGGCGGUUUGCGGCUGUUGUUAGCACCCUGAAAGGAGUGCCGGCGGGAGGAGUUGGGUUGGGAGAUGGUGGUUGCUGCCAGGAGGCGACGAAGUUCCGGGCAGUGUUCCUUGGCGUGCGACUCGUCACCACACUGUAGGCAGACAUGCUGGGCCAUGCGCUGGAGGCGCAAGUUGUAGGGGACUCCGAUGGUUUUGACGCCGCUCGGAAGAGGUAAGUUGCUGUGGUGCGGUGUGGUGGAGUAGACGUUGGCGGUGAGGUCCAUAGGGUCGUCCCGGCGGACGUCUCGGAAGCUGCGUGGCGCGGUGUUGUAGUCAAUGAGAUGAGCAUUGUGGCGCCCGGAAAAGAUGCCCAUCGCCAAGUCAAUGAUGAUCUGCAGGGUCACAUCAGUGCCGUAUUGAGGAAGCCUUGCGUAGACUUCCUCACGGAGGUCCCUGUUGAGACCUUUCACGAAGUGAAAGAUGUGGUCGAGUUCGUGACGGUGAGGAAGGUCGCCCAUAAGGCGUCCGAAAGCGGCCACGUACGACACCAGAGAGUUCGGGCCUGAGCCUUGACGAAUGGUGUCCAUGCUGAUCUGUGCCUGGAGGAGGCGAUCGGGUCUGGGCGCGAGGGGCGUUAGCGCUUGAAGGACCGCAGUUAAGGAAGUAAAGGGGGUACGUUGGUGGCGGAGGAGGGUGUCCAGGGUAGGUCCUUCGAUGGCAGACAGGGCGAUGGCGACAGCAGGCGCACUGUCUUCAUGCAGACCGCAUACCGUAAAGUGGAGGCGGAGGCGGUUGGCCCACGAAGUGAGGUCGGCGUCCUUGGCCGUGGGGUUGAAUCGGGGGGCUGGUCCGCACUGGUUGUUUGACGAAUGAUUCUCUAAGGCACGUACGGCAGCAUGUGCAGCGACUUCUGAGAUUCUAUCCCAGGGGAGAGCGGCUUCGGACGUGGUGGGGGGCGCCGCGGGCGCGGGGUCGGUGGCGGCAGGAAAGGAAGGCGGAAACGGGAACUCGUUCGAGAGAGACAUGGUUGAGGACGAAGAUGAAGAGGACGAAGAUGAAGUGACGAGGGCGAUGACGAAGUGAUCAGGGCGAAGGCGAAGUGAUGAGGGCGAAGGCGAAGCGAUGAGGGCGAAGGCGAAGUGAUGAGGGCGAAGACGAAGACGGAGUGAUGAAGGCGAAGAGGACGAAGACGAAGUGACGAGGGCGAUGACGAAGUGAUCAGGGCGAAGGCGAAGUGAUGAGGGCGAAGGCGAAGCGAUGAGGGCGAAGGCGAAGUGAUGAGGGCGAAGACGAAGACGAAGUGAUGAAGGUGAAGACGAAGUGUAGAGGCGAAGAUGAUGGCGCGAUGGCGCGAUGGCGCGAUGACGACGAAGACGAUGGCAACGACGAUGAAGAGCUCGGCGAGGAGGAUCACCUAGGCUCUGAUACCAAUUGAAAGGGAACCAGGCCGCUCCUAACAACUGGGAAGUGCAAGCUGACUUUACUGGCCGAUAUACUUGCGUAAGCACAGAAGAUCGGGCUUUUCAAUUUCAACUUAGACUUACAAUGUUCGUAAAAUGGUCCGCUUAAAUAGUCAUAUUAGCGCGCCAUUGUCUCACACGGAGAACCACAAGAUCAAGCUCCACUAGCUCCGAAGUUACGACAUGGUCUCAGAAGCGCGCGCUAACGAACUGCAAAACCUUACAC